GACAGCAGCUCACAGCUGCAAGAGGCCACCAUGGAGCAGUCUUUGGAGGAUUGACCAUGAGGACAUGACGCCAGCUCGAUAUCAUCGCCGCUGUCACUGUACACAAGCAGGCAGCCAACAGCAAAUAUUUAUCUGGUGGUUUACCCAGGGUCUAUGCAGUCCUGGAUGUCAGCAACCCAGGAGUUUUUCUGCAGUGAGUCGAUGGUUUCCAGGAUGUACUCGCCCCCGUUUUCCACCUGUGGAAG